AACCCAUUUGUUUUUUUUUUGUUUUUUCUUAAAAAAAACCUCAUGCUCUCCAAUCUCUCAUUCUCCCCUUGCUUCCUCGCCGAAAUACUAGCACCCCGGCCCUCCACUCGCGUCCAGCAAAGCCUCCGACAGUGACUCCGUCGCAGGUAUAACGGACGUGGGUCGUGCUUGGUGGUGGAGAACGUGGGCAAUAGAAGCAUGGAGGCAGUUGGAGGCUAGGGUCUUGGCUGAAGACGUUUUGGGGUUUGUGGGUUAGGGUUAAGUAUUUGGGCUUCAAAAUUGGAUCUGUUUUCAUUUUGUUUUUAAUUUAAUUUUGGUUCUAUUUUUGA